UGGACAAUGAAAUAAACUUAUUGGACCCGGGGGCGGUACCCGGCGCCUCCACCGAAAUGCGAUAAACAAAGAUUGUAUUUUUGCGGGGGCGAAAUAGGAUCGACGAGAGUGUAAAGAUUGCUCUUUUACUCGGCGUAGUACCACCGUUAUCGGACUAAAUGAGUAGUUGCGAAUGACAACUAUGCGGAAGCACGUAUCGCUGCGUAAGGUGGCGUGAAUGCUUCAAAUGAAUUCUUAACCCUUCGCAGGUUUAAGCGGGGUUCGAAGGCACC
rnacentral:tmRNA from 1 species